rnacentral:misc_RNA from 1 species
GACGAACCGUGCGAACGUUAUUCGGAAUCACUGGGCUUAAAGGGCGCGUAGGCGGGCCGGCCAGUCGGAGGUGAAAUCUCCCGGCUCAACCGGGAAAGGGCCCCCGAUACUGCCGGCCUCGAGGGAGGUAGGGGCACGCGGAACUCCCGGUGGAGCGGUGAAAUGCGUAGAUAUCGGGAGGAACGCCGGUGGCGAAAGCGGCGUGCUGGGCCUCAUCUGACGCUGAGGCGCGAAAGCCAGGGGAGCGAACGGG